rnacentral:rRNA from 1 species
CGGAAGGUGCGAGCGUUAAUCGGAAUUACUGGGCGUAAAGCGCACGUAGGUGGUUUUAUAAGUCGGAUGUGAAAGCCCCGGGCUUAACCUGGGAAUUGCAUCUGAUACUGUCUGACUAGAGUAUGCUAGAGGGAAGUGGAAUUCCAGGUGUAGCGGUGAAAUGCGUAGAUAUCUGGAGGAACACCAAUGGCGAAGGCAACUUCCUGGGGCAAUACUGACACUGAUGUGCGAAAGCGUGGGGAGCAAACAGGAUUAGAUACCCUGGUAGUCCACGCCGUAAACGAUGAGAACUAGUCGUCGGGAGGGUCAGCCAUCCGGUGACGUAGCUAACGCGUUAAGUUCUCCGCCUGGGGAGUACGGCCGCAAGGUUG